UAACUUUCAAUAUAUAAUUGCCACAUUGUUAGUGAGGUACCACGUCAUCAUCUAAUAUGAUUAAAUAAUAACAAGAAUGACGUUAAUACACAAAUAUGCUAUAGAGCAAAUUUUGUCCAGUAAAUUCAAAUAUUCAAUUUUAAAUUAUAAAUCAAUGUUAAUUUAGACUAAUUAUAAAUCAAUGUUUAAUUUGAAGGCUUUGAUUGACUUUAGACCCAUUUUCCCUAAUUGAGCUAUAUUCCUUUUAUUUUUUAUGCUAAUUAAAAUUUUUGGGCUUUCGGCCAUUAAUGUAGAUUUUUAUAAUUUUAUAAUAUUGUACUUAAUUACAACAAUUCAAAAAAGAUAAAUUACAAAAUUUCAAGGAAAAAAUACAAAAAAAGCCAAAAUAAUUUAAAAAACAAAAAAUGUAUUUACAAAGCCUCAUAGUUUUGUAAAUGUUACAACUUGGUCCAUUGGACCCAUGUCCGGCCAGAGUCGCCCUACCCUUCACUGCACUGCCACCAAUCCCAUCCACGUCUCCAACCAUACCCCUGCCAUCAUCACCGAGUGCUUCCUUCACUAACUCCAUCAGCUUCCCACGACAAUUGAUGAUUAUAAACAGUUGCAAAGAUCAGGAAAAAAAUAGAGGUUAGCUGCCAAGAUUAAAAAAAAAAUGAGGUUAGCUGCAGUUCUCAAUUUCAGAUUUCCCAAAGCUAGCCUGACAUCAUUCCUCCGCCAUUAAUCACUGACACUCCCUCUGGGCUCCCUCCGCCCCGUCUCAACUUUUUUCCACCAUUUCUCAGACCACUAUCUUCCCCCCUCCCCCGGCGCAACACCAUCUUUUUUUAGGCAUCCCUCAGAACCUUUCGGCUAACCCACAAAUGGAAGCAACGAACAAUACCAAGGUUUCUUGCUUCCGAAACGAAAGGGAAGCUAUGAGCAAAAUCAAUCAUCAAAAUCAGCAAUAUAUAGAAGAAUAAAAAAUAAAAAAAGGAAAAGGAAAAUGGGAAGAGAAAAUCCAUUUCGAGUUGUUAUGUUCUCGGAGCUACGGUGGUUCACUCGCCAAUCGAACGGUGAGAAGGUGGCCACUGAUGAGGAGGUGCACAUACCUCGAAGCCAUGUUGAUCGGACGGAGAAUGGCUGCGACCGGGACCAAGAAAUUUUGAACUAAGAUUUAUUUUUUUUGUUAUUUUUCGGUCAGCUUCUCGAGAAUCCAAACCAAAGGACGAAGAAAGGGUGAGGAGAGCUUCAUUUAAAUGAGAGGACGAUCGGUGCCUGCAAGCGGAGGUGGAGCAAAUAGUGGACGGCGGCUAGUUUUUGAAGAAGUGGAAGGGAGAAAGAAAAAGGAAAAUGAAAAGAAAAAAGAAAAAAAGGGAAUGAAAGACUUAAAAAAAGGAAAAAUAAAAAGUGGUGGGCCGACUUAUUAAAGAAAAGAAGUAACAUUUUUUUUUGGUUAUUUGUUCACGGGAAGAAGAGGAAAAGGUAGAAUUUCAUACCAGAUCCCUGAUCGCUCUGGUUAAUUGCGAUUCAGUCCCUAUGUUUAUAGUUUAAUGUGAUUUGUCC
rnacentral:lncRNA from 1 species